GCGGAGGCUGAACUAUUUUUCCACCCAUGUCUUUUGCGUACUUGUUGUUUCCUGGGCGGGUUUCGCCCGCCACCAGGACCACAUCAUAAACCUUUUUUUUUUAAAUUGUAAUCCGCGUCAGUACAACAAAUGUUAAAUCAUUUACAACUUUCAACAACGGAUCUCUUGGUUCUGGCAUCGAUGAAAAACGCAGCGAAAUGCGAUACGUAGUGUGAACGCACAUUGCGCCCUUUGGUAUUCCAAAGGGCAUGCCUGUUCAAGCGUCAUUUGUACCCUCAAGCUUUGCUUGGUGUUGGGCGUUUUGUCUUGCCUUGCGGCGAGACUCGCCUUAAAACGAUUGGCAGCCGGCCUACUGGUUUCGGAGCGCAGCACAGCUUUUGCGCUUGCCAACCAGCUAAAGAGGUCAGCAAUCCAUCAAGCCCAUUUCUCACUUUUGACCUCGGAUCAGGUAGGGAUACCCGCUGAACUUAAGCAUAUCAAUAAGCGGAG
rnacentral:rRNA from 1 species